GCGAACGGGUGAGUAACGCGUAGGUAACCUGCCUUGUAGCGGGGGAUAACUAUUGGAAACGAUAGCUAAUACCGCAUAACAAUGGAUGACACAUGUCAUUUAUUUGAAAGGGGCAAUUGCUCCACUACAAGAUGGACCUGCGUUGUAUUAGCUAGUAGGUGAGGUAACGGCUCACCUAGGCGACGAUACAUAGCCGACCUGAGAGGGUGAUCGGCCACACUGGGACUGAGACACGGCCCAGACUCCUACGGGAGGCAGCAGUAGGGAAUCUUCGGCAAUGGGGGCAACCCUGACCGAGCAACGCCGCGUGAGUGAAGAAGGUUUUC
rnacentral:rRNA from 1 species